rnacentral:tRNA from 1 species
GGCGCUAUAGCCAAGUGGUAAGGCAUAGGUCUGCAAAACCUCUAUUCCCCAGUUCAAAUCUGGGUGGCGCCU